CAGCCGCCGCGGGAAUACGAAGGGUGCAAGCGUUACUCGGAAUUACUGGGCGUAAAGCGUGCGUAGGUGGUGGUUUAAGUCCGUUGUGAAAGCCCUGGGCUCAACCUGGGAAUUGCAGUGGAUACUGGGUCACUAGAGUGUGGUAGAGGAUAGUGGAAUUUCCGGUGUAGCAGUGAAAUGCGUAGAGAUCGGAAGGAACAUCUGUGGCGAAGGCGACUAUCUGGGCCAACACUGACACUGAGGCACGAAAGCGUGGGGAGCAAACAGGAUUAGAGACCCGCGUAGUCCCUGUCUCUUAUAC
rnacentral:rRNA from 1 species